UACGUAGGGUGCGAGCGUUGUCCGGAAUUAUUGGGCGUAAAGGGCUCGUAGGCGGUCUGUCAAGUCGGGGGUGAAAACUCAGGGCUUAACCCUGAGCCUGCUUCCGAUACGGGCAGACUAGAGGUAUGCAGGGGAGAACGGAAUUCCUGGUGUAGCGGUGAAAUGCGCAGAUAUCAGGAGGAACACCGGUGGCGAAGGCGGUUCUCUGGGCAGUACCUGACGCUGAGGAGCGAAAGUGUGGGGAGCGAACAGG
rnacentral:rRNA from 1 species